rnacentral:other from 1 species
UUUUGGGUUUUGUAGAAGUUCAGAAAAAAGAAACCUAAUGAGUUUUUUAUUAGGGGACUGUCCCUGGAGAUGGUGUGCAAGCUUGGCCUUCGGGAUCCGAGAAGCCUAAAGUCUUUAUAAUGGUCACCCACCUUAAAAUUUUCGGUUUCUUGUUCUGUUAACUCUACGAGGCCUUUUCU